CUCAUUAAAAGAGUGCGUAAUAGCUCACUGGUCGAGUGACUCUGCGCCGAAAAUUUAACGGGGCUAAACUAUACACCGAAGCUUGGGAUACAUCUAAUGUAUGGUAGGAGAGCGUUCUGUAUGGGGAGAAGUCGUAGCGAAAGCGGCGGUGGACUAUACAGAAGUGAGAAUGCCGGAAUAAGUAGCGAGAAUUAAGUGAGAAUCUUAAUGGCCGAAAGUCUAAGGUUUUUGGAGGAAGGUUCGUCCGCUCCAAGUAAGUCGGGAGCUAAGGUCAGGCCGAAAGGCGUAGCCGAUGCACAUACGGUUGAUAUUCCGUAACCAUCUGUAAUUUAAGCAAAGGGACACUUCAAAAGGGUGUGACCCGGGCGUUGGUUGACCCGGGCGUAAGGGACCGAAAUUAGAGUAGGGAAGCACACUUAGCUGAAGGCGAGAAAAGCUUUGCGUAUAGAAACAGAUGCCCGUACCGCAAACCGACACAGGUGGACAGGAAGAGAAUUCUAAGGCCAGCGGGAGAAGGGUAGUUAAGGAACUCGGCAAAUUGACUCCGUAACUUCGGAAUAAGGAGUGCUCGAAAGAGCCGCAGAGAAUAGGCCCAGGCGACUGUUUAGCAAAAACACAGGUCUCUGCCAAAUCGAAAGAUGAAGUAUAGGGGCUGACACCUGCCCGGUGCCGGAAGGUUAAGAGGAGGAGUGAGAGCUCCGAAUUGAAGCCCCGGUAAACGGCGGCCGUAACUAUAACGGUCCUAAGGUAGCGAAAUUCCUUGUCGGGUAAGUUCCGACCCGCACGAAUGGUGUAACGAUCUGGGCACUGUCUCAACUACCCACCCGGCGAAAUUGUAGUACCGGUGAAGAUGCCGGUUACCUGCGGCAAGACGGAAAGACCCCAUGGAGCUUUACUGUAGCCUGAUAUUGGGUUUCGGAAAUCUAUGUACAGGAUAGGCGGGAGACUGGGAAACAUGAGCGUCAGCUUGUGUGGAGUCGAUGUUGGGAUACCGCCCUUAGGUUUCUGGAAUUCUAACCUGCGGCCGUGAAUCCGGUCGGGGGACAUUGUCAGGUGGGCAGUUUGACUGGGGCGGUCGCCUCCGAAAAGGUAACGGAGGCGCUCAAAGGUUAGCUCAGCACGGACGGAAACCGUGCCUCUGAGUGUAAACGCAAAAGCUAGCCUAACUGCGAGGGUGACGGCCCGAGCAGUAACGAAAGUUGGAGUUAGUGAUCCGGCGGUAUGUGAAUGGAAAUGCC
rnacentral:rRNA from 1 species